UCAUUCGGAUUCGCCAUCAUACGCCCAACCGUGCAUUUGAUAUGCAUAUAUAUAUGCAUCACAAGCCACGGUAGGGCUGUAUGAUGGCGAUACCGAUUGG
rnacentral:pre_miRNA from 1 species